UAUACAUAUUGAAAUUUUAGUACUAACUAAUUUGAAAUUUAUAAUGUGUAAGUCUUCCAGGGGGGGCAACCACAACUGCUAGGGGGGGCUCAGCCCCAUCUUGCCCCCCCGUAGCUACGGGGCUGGUUGGAAGUAUUAUCCAUUCGCGAUCAUUAUAUAGUAAAGUAGGCUCUGAUAUUUUUUUCUUUAAGUUGGAUAAACUGAUUUGAUGAUUUAGUUUUUUGUCUGUCAGUAGUCUGAUUGACAUUUGCUUUGAGCUGGAUUGCCACUUUUCUACUUCAUUUAUUAGAUCAGAAUUAUUAGACCCAAUUUUUUAAUCAAACAAACAAAUGUUUUAAUUUUGUCAGCAUAGAUAAUUUAUCAUUGUGACAGAUUCACAGAUCAUUGCGACAUUAUUUAAAAAUUUAAAAAGAGAAUUUAAAAACACCACUAUCUGGCAAGCGAAAACUAACGGAUUUAUUUACAAAUUAUAUGUUUCGGAAAGACCUGCAACAACAAAUUUGGCAACUUCAUGAAAAAAAACGAAUAUUUCACUGUAGAUACUCUUUUGGCAUAUUCUAGGGAACAGUUGGAAUUUAAAGGGGGGCGAACCACAUUAUACAAAAUUCUUAAGUCAAUGGGUUAUAAACAUAGGGAAGUAAUGGUCGCAAAAUUCUAUGUGAACAAAAACAUGUCGUUGCAGCCAAAAUUACUUUUUUGAGAACAUAUUUACAGUUUCUAAAUUCUUGUGAAAAUUUGACUUUCGUGUAUUUGGAUGAAACAUGGAUCUAUCAAAAUGGGUCGUCCAUUCGUCGCUGGGUGCACGAUACUGAUCUAAAAAGCAAUCCUACCAAAAUUAAAAGUGAACGAUCAAGGUUUACUAUUCUCCACGCGGGUUGUUCAACGCGGUUCUUGGAUGGUUGUAACAUUUUUUUAAAUUAAAAAAAUAACGAUAGAGACUAUCAUAAUAAAACGAUGGACGGGACAACUUUUCAAAAUUGGGUGGUUAAUCAGCUCAUUCCUGCUUUGGCAAAGUUGAACCAAAAAUGUGUGGUGGUUUUAGACAAUGCACCGUAUCAUUCGGUUCAGUUAGAUAAACCACCCACUUUUUCUAGUAAAAAAUGUGAAAUGCAGGAAUGGCUCUUUAAACAUAGUGUUGAAUCUGACAAAAAAUUUUCGAAGAAACAGUUCUGGGAUUUAAUCAAACCCUUCAGAAACAAUAGAAAAAAAAAAGAUAUUUGGUAGACGAGACAUUCAGAGAAAGUGGCCAUGAAGUUCUUAGAUUACCUCCGUACCAUUGUCAAUAUAAUCCAAUUGAAAUGGCGUGGGGAUUUUGUAAGAACUAUUACAACAAGAACAUAAAUUCUCAACCUUCAUUAAAAAAUAGGGUGGAGAAUUUAUGGUUUGAGGCGAUUUCUAAAUGUACUCCAAGCAUGUGGCAAAAUUUUUGUAAACAUUGUGAAAAACUUAUUUUGGCAGAUUGGGAAAAAAAUAUGGGAAAUCUUUCGUACGCGUCUAUACCUCCUUUCAUUAUUUCGCUAGGUGAAUCUGAUUCAGAAUCCAAAUAAGAAAAUGACGGUGAUGAUACAGAUUGUCAUAGCGAAAUAAUGGAAAUGGAGUGAAUUGUAGCUUGUCGGGGGGUGAUAUUUUUACGCAUCUUUCGUUCUAAAUUUACCAAGGUAGUAUGUGAAAAACUACCUGACGUACAACAAAAUAAGUAUAAUUUUAGUUAGAUCAUCCACGUUGUUACUUUGCACCAAAUUUUAAGCAUUUUCAUUUUUUUUUUUUUUGUAGCUCUUCAUGGACCUGGAGAAGGCGUAUAAAGAGCUAAACCCAUCAAAGCACUAGAGCAAGGUUGUUGUCUUUUACCAACCCUUUUAGUAAUCUUAGAAAAGUGAAAAAAGAAGUUGGAAGAUAUGGAAAUAGGCUGUUCACGAAGGUCGAAAUUUCCAUUUCUAAGAAGAGUGGGCGAGCAGAACGAACUGAUGAUUGAGAAUUAAAGAUGAGAUGCUAAAUGUGGCAUGCGACAAUAGUCGUACGUAGAACCCCCAUUCAUAUAAAAACAAUGUUUAAGUGCAAUUUUAGUGUUUGUUCCUUACAUAUGAAAUAAACACUUACAAAAAGCCGAAUAA